GACGAACGCUGGCGGCGUGCUUAACACAUGCAAGUCGAACGGCAAGGCCCUGCUUUUGUGGGGUGCUCGAGUGGCGAACGGGUGAGUAACACGUGAGUAACCUGCCCUUGACUUUGGGAUAACUUCAGGAAACUGGGGCUAAUACCGGAUAGGAGCUCCUGCUGCAUGGUGGGGGUUGGAAAGUUUCGGCGGUUGGGGAUGGACUCGCGGCUUAUCAGCUUGUUGGUGGGGUAGUGGCUUACCAAGGCUUUGACGGGUAGCCGGCCUGAGAGGGUGACCGGCCACAUUGGGACUGAGAUACGGCCCAGACUCCUACGGUAGGCAGCAGUGGGGAACAUUGCACAAUGGGCGGAAGCCUGAUGCAGCAACGCCGCGUGCGGGAUGACGGCCUUCGGGUAGUAAACCGCUGUCGCCUGUGACGAAGCGUGAGUGACGGUAAUGGGUAAAGAAGCACCGGCUAACUACGUG
rnacentral:rRNA from 1 species